UACAGAGGGUGCAAGCGUUAAUCGGAAUUACUGGGCGUAAAGCGUGCGCAGGCGGUUUGGUAAGACAGAUGUGAAAUCCCCGGGCUUAACCUGGGAAUGGCAUUGGAAACUGGCUAGCUGGAGUGUGGCAGAGGGGGUGGAAUUCCACGUGUAGCAGUGAAAUGCGUAGAUAUGUGGAGGAACACCGAUGGCGAAGGCAGCCCCCUGGGUCAAAACUGACGCUCAUGCACGAAAGCGUGGGGAGCAAACAGG
rnacentral:rRNA from 1 species